AGGAGAGAGAUGAGUUGAAGAGAAGUUUCACUGUUAUCAAAGAGUCUCGCAGUUGAUAGCAAAUAAUUGUUUUGCAAUGGAAUCAAUUUAGUGCUCCUCAAAGGUGACAAUUCGUGGUGACAAAAGGUGACAAUGGGUACUAGACACAUCGAAAUCUAUCAGUUUUACCAAACAGUUCAAAGGCAAAAAAGUUUCACUGAAACAAACAAAUUUUUUUACUGAAAUCGAUGAUCUUUGUCGUGAUGUGUAAUUUAGAUGAAAUAUAUCUUUGAAAUAA